rnacentral:rRNA from 1 species
GAUGAACGCUGGCGGCGUGCCUAAUACAUGCAAGUCGAGCGAACAGAUGAGGAGCUUGCUCCUCUGACGUUAGCGGCGGACGGGUGAGUAACACGAGGAUAACCUACCUAUAAGACUGGGAUAACUUCGGGAAACCGGAGCCAAUACCGGAUAAUAUAUUGAACCGCAUGGUUCAAUAGUGAAAGACGGUUUUGCUGUCACGUAUAGAUGGAUCCGCGCCGCAUUAGCUAGUUGGUAAGGUAACGGCUUACCAAGGCAACGAUGCGUAGCCGACCUGAGAGGGUGAUCGGCCACACUGGAACUGAGACACGGUCCAGACUCCUACGGGAGGCAGCAGUAGGGAAUCUUCCGCAAUGGGCGAAAGCCUGACGGAGCAACGCCGCGUGAGUGAUGAAGGUCUUCGGAUCGUAAAACUCUGUUAUUAGGGAAGAACAAAUGUGUAAGUAACUAUGCACGUCUUGACGGUACCUAAUCAGAAAGCCACGGCUAACUACGUG